AUUUGAUGGUAUUAUUUCUUUGUUUCUUACUCAUAUUUGUAUUGUUUGGGGUUAUAAACUGCGGAGUUAGUUACUUGUAAUCUACUCCUGCAUUACUACACCACUAACAUCUUCAACUUGGCCAUGUUGGCCGAAUGCAUAAUAUUCUUAGUUCCUAUUUCCAGGAACGUUCGUCAUGACAUUUCCAUUUCCAUUUCCAUUCCCAUUUCCAGGAACGAAACAAAAUUAUUUCUCAUUAUGAGGAACAUUUAAUUCCUAUUCCAAACUUGGAUUUUUCCGAGUCCAAUAUAUAUUCCGAAUAUAUAGUUUAAAUUCCAGACUCAGACUGUUUUAAGUCCCAAUAAAUUUACAUGCUUAAUAUAAGCUUCCGCACGAACUCCCUUUGUGAGGGGAUCGGCUACUAUAUCGCUCGUUGGUAUAUAGGUUACUUUAAUUCUACCUUUUUCCAUUAUAUCUCGAAUGUAGUGGUAGUGUAUUUCUAUAUGUUUUUCCUUUGAGCUAUUUACACCACUAUGUAUUAAGUUUAUUAAUGUUUGAUUAGCAGAGAAUAUUUCCAAUGGUCUAUCUACAAGAUCUAGCCCAAAUUCAUUUAAAAAUCGUCUUAUCCAAACUGCAUGAGUACUUGCCAUACUACAAGCAAUAGACUAAGCUUCCUUUGUGUGCCUAGCAACACACCCUUGUUUCUUGCUACUCCAAGAAACUGCCACACCUCCAUAUAAAAAUACAUGACCAGAGGUAGACUUACAGUCAUCUUUGUCACCUCCAAAGUCAACAUAGAAGUAUCCAAUAACCUCAAGCUUUUCUGCUUGAAAACAUAAUUUCAAGUGUUUAAUUCCUUUAAUAUGCUUCAUAAUCUUUUUCACAACUUCCCAAUGGGUAGAGCCAGGAUUUCUUUGGUAUCUACUUAUCAAACCGACUGGAUAGGCCAAAUCCGGUCGUGUACACGACAUGGCAUACAUCAAACUACCUACUGCCUGAGCAUAAGGUACAUUCAACUUUUCCUGUUCUUUUUUAGGACAUUGACUUUUUGAUAAAGUCUUUUGCAGUACAAUUGGACUUGCUGAGGGAUUGUAAUUCUGCAUCCCGAAUCUUUUCAACAUAGAGUUCAUGAAUUUUUCCUGACUCAAACAUAACUUACGUUGGGUUCUGUCUCUAAUGAUUUGAAUUCCUAUGAUAUAGGAUGCUUCCCCUGUAUCCUUCAUUUCAAACCUUUUGCUAAGUUCAUGUUUGGUUUUGUUUAGCAUAUCCAAGGUCAUUUCCAGCGAAAGUAUGUCAUCAACAUACAAGGAGAGAAUAGUAAAACUGCUCCCACUCUUCAAAAUAUUUACACAGUUGUCCAACUUGUUUUCCACGAAUCCUAACUUAAGGAUCGUUUUGUGGAAUACUAAGUAUCACUGACGUGAGGACUGUUUAAUCCGUACAAAGAUUUUUUAAGUUUACAUACAUUGUCUUCUUGUCCCAUUACUUGAAAACCUUCAAGUUGUCACAUAUAUAUGGUUUCUUCCUACUCGCCAUUGAGAAAGGCGUUUUUCACAUCCAUCUGGAAUAAUAAUAAGUCUAAAUAGGCAAAUUUCACUAUCAGCAUAUAAGUUUCCUGGUAGUCUAUUUCUCCUUUCUAUGUAUAUUCUUUUGCAAUUAACCACACUUUAAAUUUAUCAACAAACCCAUCUAUUUUAUACUUUUUCUUAAGUACACAUUUACAACCUACGGCAUUUUUACCCUUUGGUAAGUCACAAAGUUCUCAUACUUGAUUCUUUACGAUAGAAUCAAUUUCCUCUCGCAUGGCAUCCACCAUUCACCUGAAUCUUGCGAUUUCAUCUCUUCGCUAUAAAUUACAGGAUUGACUACUUCCACAUCUGCGUUAACUAUAUAACAAGAUGGCUCAUAUAGAUAAAGGUAGUAGUCAUCUAAAUAAGUUGGAGAUGUUCUUAUUCUUUUACUCCCACUCAUCCUAGGUUCCGAGUCUUGUCCCUGAUGAUCAAUUUGAUCUUCAGGAACUUGGAUUCCUUAAUUAAAAAUUCCUAGUUCUUUUUUAGGGUUAACAUCAUAGUCAUCGUUAAUAACAUGCAGGGGUUCUAUAUCCUCCUGUUGCUGCUCCUUUAGUUUCUCUAGAAAUUUUGCAUCACAACUCUCAAUUACCCAUUUUUCAGGGUGAUAGAAUCUAUGUGCUUUUGAUCCUUUAGGAUAUCCUAAGAACUUGCACCUGAUCGUUAUAGAAUCCAACUUAUUUCUAUAUGGCUCAGGUCUUACAUAGGCAACUGAUCCCAACUUCCUUAGAUUUUCUAAGUCUAGUUUCCUACCUGUCCACAGUUCAUAAGAAGUUGACUCAACAGAUUUAGUGGGAAUUCUAUUCAAGGUAUAAUUAGCUGUGAGAAUGGCCUCUCCCCAUAACUCCUUAAAGAGAGGAAUGUGAUAACAUGCAACGUACUAUGUUAAGUAGUGUUCUAUUCCGUCUUUUAGCCACACCAUUCUGUUGUGGUGUGAAAGACAUGGUCUUUUGUUUAAUGAUUUUAUGUUCCUCACAGAAUUUUUCAAACUCAGUGGAGUUAUACUCUCCACCACGAUCAGUUCUUAGAACCUCAAUAGUCCUUCCCAAUUGAUUUAGUACUUCAGUCCUAUAGCGUCUGAAACAUUCAAAUGCUUUAGAUUUUUUACUAAGUAAAUAAAUAUAUCCAUACUUGGAUAAAUCAUCUGUGAAUGUGAUAAAAUAAGUUUUGCCACUAUGGGUACUCACAUUUAAUGGCCCACAGAUGUUAGAUUGUACCACUCCGAGAAGUUCCUUUCCUCUCACUCCCAUUAGAAAGGGGUUUUCCUAGUCAUUUUAUCAGAGAGACAAUGUUCACAUUCAUCAUAUUCUACUUUAGACAACUUAGGAACUAUCCCCAAUUUAAUCAUUUGUUGCAUUUUCUUAAUUCCAGGGUGUCCUAGUCUCAUAUGCCAUAUGUAUGAAUCAAUGAGGUUUGCACAAUGAAUAUAAACCAAUGACCCAGAUGCCUUUUCAUUAAUAAUAUAAGUGGUUACAUUGAGAACAUUUUCAACAGUGGAAAGUAAAAAAACAAAUCCUGCUCAGGGACAAAUCGUCUUGUAGCAAAAGAACGACUAUGUCGUCCAAUUGUGACCUCAGUUCCUGUGAAGCGCACAUCAAGGCCCUUCUUAACAAGGGCUGGUACAGAAAUCAAAUUCCGAUGCAUAUCAGGGGUAUAAAUUACAUCCUUCAGACGGAAAUUAGCCUUCCUGAGGUCAAAUGCAUAGUCUGCAACACCUCAAACUUCAUUGUACGAGUUAUUGCCCAUGAAGAUCUUAUGGUCACCAGGUGCCAGAAGCUUCAUCUCUUAUUGUCCCGUGUGGUCCUUACAAUGUGACGUGUCGCACCUGAAUAGAUAAACCACCCCUCAUAUUGUUCUCCAGAUAAAUUGCAUUCAACUGUGCCAAUAAACUCUUUCCGCUGAGUGUUUGGUGCUGGUGCAGGUGUAGUAUUUCCUUUGUUCCUUUUUUGAGGCAGGAAGCCCUAAAAUGGCCGAAUUUUUCACAUUCAUAACAUGCUCCAAGUGACACAUUUUGAAAGUUUUUGGACUUCAUUUUACCCUUUCCCUUGAACUUAUUCUACUUGGUGUUGGGGCGAAGCUGGUUGGUAAAAAAAUGGGCUAAUGAAGUAGAAUAAGUUCAAGGGAAAGGGUAAAAUGAAGUCCAAAAACUUUCAAAAUGUGCCACCUGGAGCAUGUUAUGAAUGUGAAAAAUUCGGCCAUUUUAGGGCUUCCUGUCCUAAAAAAGGAACAAAGGAAAUACUACACUUGCACCACCACCAAACACUCAGCGGAAAGAGUUUAUUGGCACAGUUGAGUGCAAUUUAUCUGGAGAACAGUAUGAGGGGUGGUGGAUCGAUUCAGGUGCGACACGUCAAAUUGCAAGGACCACACGGGACAAUAAGAGAUGAAGCUUCUUGCACCUGGUGACCAUAAGAUCUUUAUGGGCAAUAACUCGUACAAUGAAGUUCGAGGUGUUGCAGACUAUGCGUUUGACCUCAGGAAGGCUAAUUUCCGUCUGAAAGAUGUAAUUUAUGCCCCCGACAUGCGUCAGAAUUUGAUUUUUGUACAAGCCCUUGUUAAAAAGAGUCUUAAUGUGCGCUUCACAGGCACUGAGGUCACCAUUGGACGACAUGGUCGUUCUUUUGCUAUAAGACGAUUUGUCCCUGAGCAGGAUUUGUUUUGACUUUCCACUAUUGAAAAUGUUCUCGAUGUAACCACUGAUAUUAUUCAUGUAAAGGCAUCUAGGUCAUUGGUUUAUAUUGAUGUGCAAACCUUGUUGAUUCAUACAUGUGGCAUAUGAGACUAGGACACCCUAGAAUUAAGAAAAUGCAACAAAUAAUUAAAUUGGGGUUAGUUCUUAAGUUGUCUAAAGUAGAAUAUGAUGGAUGUGAACAUUCUCUCUGGUAAAAUGACCAGGAAAGCCUUUCCAGUGGGAGUGAGAGCAAAGGAACUUCUCGGAGUGGUACACUCUGACAUCUAUGGGCCAUUAAAUGUGAGUACCAAUAGUGGUAAAACUUAUUUUAUCACAUUCACAGAUGAUUUAUCCAAUUAUGCAUAUAUUUAUUUACUUAGUAGAAAAUCUAAAGCAUUUGAAUGUUUCAGACGCUAUAGGACUGAAGUACUAAAUCAGUUGGGAAGGAAUAUUAAGGUUCUAAGAACCGAUUGUGGUGGAGAGUAUAACUCUACUGAGUUUGAAAAAUUCUGUGAGGAACAUGGAAUCAUUAAACAAAAUACCAUGUCUUUCACAAGACAACAGAAUGUUGUGGCUGAAAGACAGAAUUGAACGCUACUUAAUAUAGUACGUUGCAUGCUAUUACAUUCCUCUCUCUCCAAGGAGUUUUGGGGAUAGGUCAUUCUCACAGCUAAUUAUAUCUUGAACAAAAUUCCCACUAAAUCUGUUGAGAUUACUCCCUACGAACUGUGGACAGGUAAGAAAGCAAACUUACCUAUGUACUAAUAUCCUAGCCAUAUAGAAAUAAGUUGGAUUCUAGAACGAUCAAAUGUAAGUUCAUAGGAUAUCCUGAAGGAUCAAAAGGAUAUAAAUUCUAUCACCUUGAAAAAGGGAUAAUUGAGAGUCAUGAUGCAGAAUUUCUAGAGAAACUAGAAGAGGGGCCGCAACAGGAGGAUAUAGAACCCUUGCAUGUCGUUGACGAUGACUAUGAUGUUGACCAUUGAGAACUAGGAAUUUUUUAUCGAAGAAUCCAAGUUCAUGAAGAUCAAGUUGAUCAUCAGGGACAGACCCAGAACCUAGGAUGAGUGGGAAUAAAAGAACAAGAGUACCCCCAACUUAUUUAGAUGACUACUACUUUUAUCAAUGUGAGCCAAGUCCAUAUAGCAAUACAGUACUUAGAAUUUGGGCUGGAUCUUGUAAAUGGAUCAGAGGAUAAUCAGGCAACAAUAAGCUUGAUACACAGUGGUGCAAAUAGCUCAAAGGGAAAACAUAUAGAAAUACACUACCACUAUAUUCGAGAUAUAGUAGAAAAAGGUUAAAUUAAAAUAACCUAUGAGUGAUAUGGUAAUCGAUCCCCUCACAAAGGUAGUUCGUGCGGAAGCUUAUGUUAAGCAUGUAAAAUUUAAUAGGACUUAGAACAAUUUGAGUCUGGAAUUUGAACUAUAUGUUCGGAAUACAUAUUGGACUUAGAACAGUCUAAGUCUGGAAUAGGAAUUAAAUGCUCCUCGUCAUUAGAAAUAUUUUUUUUUUCCUAUAAAUGGAAAUGGAAAUGUCAUGAUGGACGUUCUUGGAAAUGGGAACUAAGUAUAUUGUGCAUUUGACAAGCAUGGCCAAGUGGGAGAUAUUAGUGGCAUGGCCUUGUGGCCUCAUCCUAAUCCCUAAAGACCAGGUCAAAGAGACCUAAACGGAAUGGAGACUUUUGGGGGAAGGGCGAUUCCACGGUGUUGAAUUGAGCCGUUGUAGUCUCCAAUAACGGCUCUAUCAACUCCUAUAUAUUUGGAGUUGGGAACUUAUCCAAAACACACGUAUGCGGAGCCCUAAAUCGCCCAAUACCUGAAACCCUUAACAACUGUUAUUAUUUCUCUCGGUCUUCUCCUUUUUGACUUUGCAACAGGUAUCAAUUCAUCACUUUGUGUGUUCAUCGCCGGCAGCAGUUCGUCACUUCGGCAGCAGCUUGUCAUUGUCAUGCGAGUAUCAGCUAUUCAUGAUGGUUGAUCCCACUAUCAGACUCACUGGAGUUGCUAAUAAUCUGCUAUGGGAUCAGGCCAAAUCAAAGUUCAUAAUGCUAAAGGGAGGUAGGAACCACCCCAAAGCUUGCAGAUAAUUUUUCCAGAAUCUGGAACAGCAUCCAUUAAUUGGUAAAAAAACGACUUCAAGAUCCAAAAACCUUCAUGAAGAUCAAAGUGGUAAUAGAAGAAGACCCUAGUUGUUCUUUAUAUCAUCAUAACUAGGGCAGGAACUUGCAGUUAGGCAGCAAGGGUUGCUGCAACCAGAGAAUUGGAUAGUCCAGCAUUGGGCUAUCAAAACAAUGAUCAAAAGGAGAAAGAUCACCAGGUAUUAGUGCUCUGAUACCACGUAACAGUAUCAAAACUAAUAACCAGCAAUCACAAGAGGAAGAAGAAGAACCAAGACUGCUGGAGUUCACAGAUUCGUGAACCAGCAGUCUCCCAGAAUACUUUAUUUAUAAUGCCAAAAGAAUUUACAGCAGGGAGGAAAGAAAUAUAUCCUAAAUGGGAAACUGAAAUAGGAAGGAAAUAUGAGUUGCAACUAACUCUGAUUGAGACCUAAGCUAAGCCUCAUCAUAUGACUUUAAACACAAGAUAAAGACCAGCUCCCACAUGGUAGAACAAGAGAGGCCGUCCUCUAGUAAACAUUGCUUCUGGUGAAACAGAAAAAGAGGUUGACAAGUAAAAGGUAGCAGAGCCAUCUGAUCGCAAAUCCUCUCCAUUUAAUCAGGAACAGAUUAUUGCAUUGUUCAGGCAGAGAGUCUUCGAUCUCCAAAGCAAUUCCUGGAAGUACCAAGAAAAGAAGUCUUAACUCCAAAGGAGAGAAAUCAGUAGAAUCAGGGAGGGAAGUUUUCACCAAGCGAGGAGGCAAGUCAAAAGGUCAUUUAAAAGUACAAGUGAUAGUAGUCAGGUAUUUGUAGAUACGAACUGGACCUAUUUUCUACCCCUGAACAUACUAAACAGUUAUGAGUGGUGAUUAUCAUGACAAUAUUCGGAACCAAGAAUAGAACGAUGAAUUGGUGCCUUCAAGAAUAGGUAAAACCAAAGAGUUGUGAAGAAUUCCUCUAGAUUGGACUUGAAAUUGAGGUGGCCCCCUUUCAGAUCUGUGGAAAGAUCUUAAAACUCCCAUCAGCAUUAACCCCAAAAAGAAGGGUCAUUGAGAUGAAGAAGGAUCAUCGGCCAUAGAUUUUGGGAACCAAUUACUGAUAGUGGAGAUGAAUCUUCCCCUCCCCCCACCCAGGGGAACCGGGUUAAGUAAUAGAAGGAUGAGCUUCUUAAGCUGUUGGAAGUUGUAAGACAUCCUUUUUUAACAUUUCAGGCUUUUGAAAUUUUUUUCUUGGGCCUCAGCUUCUUGUGCACCCCCUGCAUUGCCAUAAUCCAAAAAAUCUGAAACAGUUUGUUCGAUAUAACGAUUGCUUACUGACAUAUUUCACAUGUAUGAGGCUCAAAACUCCCAUCAAUGAGAAGCAGUGGAUGAUCACGAGUA